GAUGAACGCUAGCGGGAGGCCUAAUACAUGCAAGUCGAACGGUAAAUGGUAGCAAUACUAUGAGAGUGGCGUACGGGUGCGUAACGCGUACACAACCUGCCUUGUACUGGGGGAUAGCCUCGGGAAACUGAGAUUAAUACCCCAUAAUUUUACGAUGUGGCAUCACAUUGUAAUUAAAGCUCCGGCGGUACAAGAUGGGUGUGCGUCCGAUUAGGUAGUUGGUGAGGUAACGGCUCACCAAGCCGACGAUCGGUAGCUGGUCUGAGAGGACGAUCAGCCACACGUGCACUGGGACACGCGCCCGACUCCUCCGGGAGGCAGCAGUAGGGAAUAUUGGACAAUGGACGCAAGGCUGAUCCAGCCAUCCCGCGUGAAGGAUUAAGGCCCUCUGGGUUGUAAACUUCUUUUCUUUGUGAAUAAAAAGCGGUAUUCAUAUCGCCUUGAAGGUACCAGGGGAAUAGGCACCGGCUAACUCCGUGCCAGCCGCCGCCGUAA
rnacentral:rRNA from 1 species